ACGGGUGAGUAACGCGUGGUCAACCUACCGUUGAGUCGGGGGAUAACUAGCCGAAAGGUUAGCUAAUACCGCAUACGUCUCCGAGGGGCAUCCCUUGGCGAUAAAAGGAGCAAUCCGCUCGAUGACGGGACCGCGUCCCAUUAGCUAGAUGGUGGGGUAACGGCCUACCAUGGCACCGAUGGGUAGCUGGUUUGAGAGAGCGACCAGCCACACUGGGACUGAGAAACGGCCCAG
rnacentral:rRNA from 1 species